AGACGCAGAUCGAUUAUAUCUGUGGCGGAGCGCUCCAUACCAGGUGGUAAAGCCGGAUCUUAGCAGUCAGUGUCGAGUGAGCGAGGCGGUCCACUUGCAUUACGCCGAACCCCCUCGCAGAACGGCCGACGGACCCGGCUCGCCGCCCUCGUGACCCCUCCGCAAGUAUCGCAAAGCUCUGCGAUGAAGCCCUGACCUUUUCCAGGUAUAGCCUGCGACGGUGACAUCAGCCUCGGAGCGCGGCCGAAGCGUGCAGCGUGAGGUCCCCUGCCAUCUUAGGAGAUGCUGACUAAGAGACAACAGCCCGGCGACGGCAGGAGCUUCCCGGACGGUGAGCGGCCUUCUUUUGCACCCGAGG